rnacentral:rRNA from 1 species
UACGUAGGGGGCUAGCGUUGUCCGGAAUCAUUGGGCGUAAAGAGCGUGUAGGCGGCCCGGUAAGUCCGCUGUGAAAGUCGGGGGCUCAACCCUCGGAUGCCGGUGGAUACUGUCGGGCUCGAGUACGGAAGAGGCGAGUGGAAUUCCUGGUGUAGCGGUGAAAUGCGUAGAUAUCGGGAGGAACACCUGUGGCGAAGGCGGCCCCCUGGUUGGAUACUGACGCUGAUACGCGAAAGCGUGGGGAGCAAACGGG